AACACAUGCAAGUCGAACGGAAAGGCCYYWGCUUGCWGGGGUACUCGAGUGGCGAACGGGUGAGUAACACGUGGGUGAUCUGCCUUGCACUCUGGGAUAAGCUUGGGAAACUGGGUCUAAUACCGGAUAGGAACCGUCUUUAGUGUGGUGGUUGGAAAGUUUUUUCGGUGCAAGAUGAGCUCGCGGCCUAUCAGCUUGUUGGUGGGGUAAUGGCCUACCAAGGCGUCGACGGGUAGCCGGCCUGAGAGGGUGUACGGCCACAUUGGGACUGAGAUACGGCCCAGACUCCUACGGGAGGCAGCAGUGGGGAAUAUUGCACAAUGGGCGGAAGCCUGAUGCAGCGACGCCGCGUGGGGGAUGACGGCCUUCGGGUUGUAAACUCCUUUCGACAGGGACGAAGCKCAAGUGACGGUACCUGUAUAAGAAGC
rnacentral:rRNA from 1 species